UGCAUGGUGGCCUGCCUUUAAGAAGGCAUUCACUGCCUACCUCUGAGAGAUAGAAGAGGAAGGGCCUUUCUAUAUAAGACAAUUUGAAGACUUCAGAGAGCGCUGGGGGAUCUCUUUGACUCUUGGCAGUGAACAGACUAAACUGAGAAGUACAGAAGUGUGAAAAAAUUGCAAACUUUCUUCUGGUCCUUUUAUCCUUCAGAAACCUAACUAUCUGCAAAAACAGAAGAAAAAUCAAAGCACAGCAUAAAAGUUUUAGCAUAAGAACAACUGGAUAAGAGCAAAGGUCUCUCAGGCAGAGUCCUACUUCCAGCAGCAGCCAGUGGCAGAGGAGGGAGGAAGAGGAGAAUAAGCAGGCUUGUACAUAAAGAGUCCUGUGCUUGCCUGUACUUCCCCAACCACUGGCUGCCAGCACGCUUGGGCUUCCUUCAGUGGAGACUGCUCUAAGCCAGGAUGUUUGAUGGCUCCCUCA